ACACAGUUUUGGUCCUAAACUUGCCGUUGUUUUUAAUCAAAAUUACACAUGCAAGCCUCCGCACACCAGUGAGAAUGCCCAUACACCCCCAACAGCCAAUCGGAGCAGGUAUCAGGAACACACACCUGUAGCCCACAACACCUUGCUACGCCACACCCCCACGGGUUCACAGCAGUGAUUAACAUUAAGAUAUAAGCAAAAGCUUGACUUAGCUAUGAUUAUUAAGGGUCGGUUAAUUUCGUGCCAGCCACCGCGGUUAUACGAAAGACCCAAAACAACAGCCCCCGGCGUAAAGCGUGACUAGAGACAGUUAGACUUUAAUGGAAAACCAUCGCCCCGCCGUAAAACGCCCCUGCAAAUUGGAAACCCAUCAAUAAAAUGCCAUUAAACAAUAAACCACUUAACCUCACGAAAGCUAAGAAACAAACUGGGAUUAGAUACCCCACUAUGCUCAGCCGUAAACUAAGGUAGUGUAAACACAACACUACCCGCCAGAGAACUACGAGUGAAAAACUUAAAACUCCAAGGACUUGGCGGUGCUCCACAUCAACCUAGAGGAGCCUGUCCUAUAAUCGAUAAUCCACGUUCUACCCUACCACCUUUUGCCCCCAGCCUAUAUACCGCCGUCGAAAGCCUACCUUCUGAAAGAAGCACAGUAGGCAAAACAGUUAUUAACUAGCACGUCAGGUCAAGGUGUAGCACAUGAGGUGGAAGAGAUGGGCUACAUUUUCUGCCACAGAAAACACGAACAGCCUAAUGAAACUUAGGCCAAAAGGCGGAUUUAGCAGUAAGACAAACAAGAAACCCUGUCUUAAACCCGCUCUGGAGCGCGCACACACCGC
rnacentral:ncRNA from 1 species